AGGACUUGUGCUGUGUGUCUGGGGAGACCUAAUGGCUGGUACUUAGAAAAUCUCAUCCUGACACACGUGUGUGUGUGUGUGUGUGUGUGUGUGUGUGUGUGUGUGCGUAUG